rnacentral:rRNA from 1 species
UACGAAGGGGGCUAGCGUUGCUCGGAAUGACUGGGCGUAAAGGGCGCGUAGGCGGAUUGUACAGUCAGGCGUGAAAUUCCCGGGCUCAACCUGGGGGCUGCGCUUGAGACGUGCGAUCUUGAGUGGGGAAGAGGGUCGUGGAAUUCCCAGUGUAGAGGUGAAAUUCGUAGAUAUUGGGAAGAACACCGGUGGCGAAGGCGGCGACCUGGUCCUUUACUGACGCUGAGGCGCGAAAGCGUGGGGAGCAAACAGG